GGCAAUGAAAAUUCCAUUUAACUCAAUUUCACCAGUCCUAUACUAGAUAUAAGCCGGACUAGUACCAAAUGUGUCCCCAAGUAAUGCAAAGGUAACCAAUUGACACCUUUUCGUCCCCAAGUAAUGCAAAGAAGCGACAGUUGUGCAUAAAUAAAAACCACAACGAAAAAACCAAACGAACAUUUGAAUGAGAUCUCUACGAACAAGAACCACUUUGAAUAGUUUUUUUAGAUUACCAAUAAAAAAACAAUGCACCGUUUUUCUUGAGGAAUGCAAGUGCGUUUUGUUUGGAAAAAGCAUUCUUAUUCUGAUCGUUGUGAAGUGAAGUAUCAUUUUUCUGUGCAAAUAAGUUAUAAAGUGUUGAAAAUAACAAAUAAAAAGGUCAAAUCAAAAUUUUAGCUGAUGCUUUAGCUGAGUUGAAGGUGAUGGUGCUACGAUCUCAAAGUGAUGAGAUACUAUUAUGGAAUAGGUUCCCCAUCACUUAUGAAAAAUAUUGAGAAUCAAUACAUAUAUGUAAAGAUUAUAGCAUCAAUUAUAAAAGGAGAGGAAACAUCGAAAUGUUUAAAUAUGUUAUCGGUUCAAAUAUAACUACGAGUAUAAUAUUGAGGAAAAAAGUUUGAAGUCCCUAAGUAAUAUAUACAGCGUUAUUUUAGAUUCAAUACCAGUUACAGAAUAUUCGGACACCCCUGAAACACAACUGCGAAAAGCAAUACAAGUGCUUUUAUAAAUAUUAAAUUAAAUUUAUUUUUGUUGAAGUUUUAUAGAGUAAGGUAUAUUUGU